rnacentral:rRNA from 1 species
UACGUAGGGGGCAAGCGUUGUCCGGAUUCAUUGGGCGUAAAGAGCGUGUAGGCGGCCAGGUAGGUCGGUUGUGAAAACUGGAGGCUCAACCUUCAGAGGUCGACCGAAACCAUCUGGCUAGAGUCCGGGAGAGGAGAGUGGGAAUUCCUGGUGUAGCGGUGAAAUGCGCAGAUAUCAGGAAGAACACCCGUGGCGAAAGCGGCUCUCUGGAACGGUACUGACGCUGAGACGCGAAAGCGUGGGGAGCGAAC